UUGAUGGAUGAUUGUUACUCACACACAAAAACUAGUGAUUGCUUGUUACUUUAUUCCUUUGUCAGGCUCAUUUCAGACAAAAUUAGAUUAUUAUUCGUCGGUCUUUAUUAGUUCAUUUCAAAUAAUAAAUUCUCUUUUAAAUUUGAUCAUAAACCUCUUGCACUUUUCAAAUUUCUAGUGAAACUAUUGUCCUUACCGAUCAAUUAGUUUCCCCUACUUUGUCCCAGUCAUUUAGUUCAUUCGUAGGUAUCAUUUCCGUAUACUAAUCCCCACUGCUGCAUGUUUCGUCGUCGUGGGCUGGGCGCGGGAGCCGGGCGUGGAAGCGAUGCGGCGACGAUGGCAUCUGCGUCGAAAGAUAACGAGUCAGCCUUCAAGUCGGCGCCGCGUCGCGGUGUCUCCUGCCUGCACUAGCCAUUGAUUUGGUAUUAUAUUCAGGUCAUGCCCCAGCUAUAUUCUUACAUUUGAUGCCAAUGAUUUUAUUUAUUUAUCAAUAAAUAUAACAUUAUACCUA